CCCAUGCCAGAGGAGAAGGAUGUGACGGGUUCCUCCAGCGGGACUAUUUGGGACGUGGAUCUGACCGGACGCCGUCAGCCUCCCCGGGCCUGAGCCGCGGUCAGGAUGCGAUCGUCUAACCGAACUUGCCUUCCUUCGCGAGGAGCCCACGCGUGAUCCCCGACGUCCGUCUCCAACCGCGACGUACUCGAGUUCGACAGAUAAAGCUGGAAAGUAACCCGGCGCACUGGAUGCAAAGACAGAGGAAGGCGCAACAGUGGCUUGUGGAGCUGCAGGCCCCGCGUUCUUCAUUGCCAUCCCUGUGAAAACUGAACCUGCAGCGAGAAGCUCCUGUGAUUGCUCCUGUCCCACGGCCAGGUCCGUGCCUUGCUCGCGUACCCCCCGGAUUGCUGCCAGUCUGCCUCCAGCCGUUGCCCCGGUCCGUGGUCUGUGCGUGGUGUGGGAUCGCGGAGAAGGGAGAGGGCACUGCCCCCAGGCAGACUUUUGGAGGCCCCUGAGCCGAGGGACGCGUGAGAAGGCACGAGCUCUAGCUGUCACCUGGCAGACAGCCCUUCCCCAUGCACGUCUUUGGACAGCUCGGUGUAGUAGGUGCUCUCACUGUACCUUUCCCAACAGACGUCUAUAGAAAAAGCACUUGCUUGCUUUCAAAAGGCACUGGAAGAAGGAAGUUGCUCCACGGCCACCUUUUAUGCCCUUUCUUUCCACCCUCCCCAUCUGUUCCCCUUUUACCAGUCAUGGAGUGGUGAGAACACCCACUAUUUUGGAGAUACCAACUACCUCUUCUGCCUCGGGGACCAAACUUUCUCUUCUCUCUGGAGAGUGUCCCGGGUUCUGCAUUCUCGGCUAGCCUGGGUCCUGCUGUCCUUGUGAGCUGCGCCAUCCUCCAAAAAAAGAGUGAAGGAUUCACUGUGUAUUGUCCAGAAUUCUUUUGGGCAGGAGCUGGAACAUGGGGCUCCUUGUUCUUAGCUGAGUGUCCCAGAUGCUGAGCACAGAAGCCUGUUUUUUUUUCUUUCUUGCUUUCCUUUCAUCCUUCCUCUCUCUUUCCAGAUCUUUGAGGUCCCAGUGGAAAGAAAAGCUUGACAGACCUGACCAGUUCAGGUCCUAGGAGGUGGAAGGCUCCAAGCCCAGCUCACCUCACCACAGCAGGUUAAGCUCUCUGCUAUGCUCGUUUAAAAUCUGACCUAAAAGCAUGCCCCUGCUUUCUAGAGCUUACUGCACAUCGCUCCCUCCUGAUGGCAUUUACUGCCCCGUCUAAUCUGCAUUUGUCCUGCCCCAUUUAUUUGAAAUAGCUCUUGGUGCUACCACAUCAUGUCCUACUUGUCACUCUCACCUUAAAGUGCUGCUCUGGUCUGAAAACAACGAUACUGAUGGUAUUUUACUUAGCUAAUCUGUUCAGCACAGGUAAGAAGGAGGUUCUCUGGGUUCUUUUCUUGGGCAGCAAUGGAGCAGUUUGCAUGUCCCUCAUUCACAGCCAGUGGCUAGCGAGGUGUCACAGAGGGCUUUGCUGGCUGACCAUGUUGUGUAGGUGGUUUAACGGGAUCUAAGGAAUCACUGCUGCUUCUGACAGAAACCUGCCCUGUGUUUCUGAUCUCAGUGGCUUGGAAUAGGAGAGUUGCAUCAGGCUCCUAUCUUUUGUCUUUAUGUUCCAGGUGCUUGGUGGCUUGAACGUCUCCUAUCUAUUAAAAACCUGAAUUCCAGUCUGAGGAUCAUAUUCAAACCCCCUGCUUUUCAGCUAGAAUCACAGAAUCACAGGAU